CAAUUCGACUCCAUGGCGAACGAAUUCAAUUCUACCUAUCCCUCAACUUCUAGUGGUAGACUGAAGAUAUACGUUCGUGGGGAAUGGGGGGCAGUGUGUGCUGACACUUUUGACCAAUCAGAUGCUGACGUUGCUUGUAGACAGAAUGGAGAUAGCAGGGCAUAUGAUUUUGGACCAGUUGGUGAUUUGGGGUACACGUCCAAUCCUAAUGCUCCAAUAUGGUUGCAAUGCUCUGAUGCAUCACCGUCCUUCUUCAUAUGUCCCAGUGACAAGCUUAAUAUGAGUGGGUGUGGUCAGCAAGUUUCUCUCUCCUGCUCCAAAUUCUUUCAACGGCCAAGGGAUAAUACGGCACAUGCAGUUGGUGUUACACUGGGCACUAUAGCAGCUUGUGUCAUCUUUGUGCUCAUCAUUGUGUCCAUCUCAUUCUGCAAACUGGAGUGGUGGUGUUGUCUUUGUCAACGAUAUUUCAAGUGGAGGAGAAACUACAAACAAUCGCUGAACAGAACUAGAGAAGAACUGGAAAACGAAAUAAUUAUCGAGCCUAAUUAUUGUGUGAAGCCCAAGAACCUCCAGCUCCGUAUUCACAACUGCCUUCACAACAAAUCGACAAUGUUGACGGAAAUCCAUCAGCAAAUCCGAAUUUUUUUGAAGAAGUAAUGUUGACGUAUGCGGAUAUACCACCACCUGACCCUCCGAGGCCUACACAAAGACUCACUAGGGAGGGCCCCCCCACUUAUAUAGACACUGUCACUAACUAAUAGCUUUUUCUAUUUUUAUACCAUAUACAUGCACGUAUAUACUUUUUGUCUCUAAUAUCUGAGAGUGUGUCAGCUGGAGCUGCAUGA